rnacentral:tRNA from 1 species
UGCCCGGUGGCCAAGUGGCAAGGCAGCGGCCUUUGGAGCCGCGAUCGUAGGUUCGAAUCCUACCCGGGCAGCCA